rnacentral:rRNA from 1 species
CGGCGAGCGGCGAACGGGUGAGUAAUGCAUCGGAACAUGUCCAUGUCGUGGGGGAUAGCCCGGCGAAAGCCGGAUUAAUACCGCAUAAGCCCGAGAGGGGAAAGCAGGGGACCGCAAGGCCUUGCGCGAUUGGGUUGGCCGAUGUCCGAUUAGCUUGUUGGUGAGGUAAAGGCUUACCAAGGCGAUGAUCGGUAGCUGGUCUGAGAGGAUGAUCAGCCACACUGGGACUGAGACACGGCCCAGACUCCUACGGGAGGCAGCAGUGGGGAAUUUUGGACAAUGGGGGCAACCCUGAUCCAGCCAUUCCGCGUGAGUGAAGAAGGCCUUCGGGUUGUAAAGCUCUUUUGUCCGGAGCGAAACGGUGGCGGUGAAUAUCCGCCACUACUGACGGUACCGGAAGAAUAAGCACCGGCUAACUACGUGCCAGCAGCCGCGGUAAUACGUAGGGUGCGAGCGUUAAUCGGAAUUACUGGGCGUAAAGCGUGCGCAGGCGGUUUUGUAAGCCAGAUGUGAAAUCCCCGGGCUUAACCUGGGAAUGGCAUUUGGGACUGCAAGGCUGGAGUGUGGCAGA